GUCACAAAUUAACAGGGUCGCACAUUUAUCAUAACACCUACAGGGGUUGUACGAAGGCAACUGUGCGCAUCAUGAAGAGCAUAGAAAGUAGUCCGCCUUGCUUAAUCUCGGGAUCAUAUCAGAAGCCGUUUAAAAGCUAUGCUGGUUUAUCUGAUGCCUGCCAACGCAUAUCUUAGCAAGUGAAGCUAACUAGCGUAGGUUAGCUUCGUAGAGGUCCUCUUUCAAUUCCAACUCUAUUAUCGUCUGUCAAGUUUCUAGCCAGAAUUUCAACUGUGACAGUUAGCAUAGAGAGGAACUUUGAUAGAAGAGAACAUAGAGCAUAGAAGACAACUUUGCUCGAAGGGUUUCCUUCGCCUCUACUCCUGAAGAAAAUGUGCUUAAAGAAGAUGUCUGUGUGUCAAGCACCACCAAACUUUCAUGAAGGGGUGAUCCAAGUGUUUCCGGAAGGAAUAUUGCAGCCACUCCACUGAUAAUAGGAGCUCCUCCAUAGAUCAGACCUGGCAACCAAGGCCUGUAGUCCCCUAUCCAGGACAGUGUGGGUGCCCUGAGAACAGGACAGCUCCUUCUUCAUCGACUCCUGCACCAUCUAUGCAUAAUAAUUAAAGGAUGCUGUGAUUGUUUAGGCGAACAUCUUACUGAGUGAGAAGGUGUUGAGCCCCAUGCCGGACAGAGACAUGCC